GCCCCGUGGUCGCGGGCGAUCGCGUCGAGUCGCGCCGCCGUCUCGGCACCGAUCGAGAAGCGAUGCGAGGCACCGUUGUUCGAGGCGACGGCGGGACGC
rnacentral:tRNA from 1 species